rnacentral:rRNA from 1 species
CAGCAGCCGCGGUAAUACGUAGGUGGCAAGCGUUGUCCGGAAUUAUUGGGCGUAAAGGGCUCGCAGGCGGUUUCUUAAGUCUGAUGUGAAAGCCCCCGGCUCAACCGGGGAGGGUCAUUGGAAACUGGGAAACUUGAGUGCAGAAGAGGAGAGUGGAAUUCCACGUGUAGCGGUGAAAUGCGUAGAGAUGUGGAGGAACACCAGUGGCGAAGGCGACUCUCUGGUCUGUAACUGACGCUGAGGAGCGAAAGCGUGGGGAGCAAACAGGAUUAGAUACCCCUGUAGUCCCUGUCUCUUAUAC